GUGAGGAAUAUUGGUCAAUGGGCGGGAGCCUGAACCAGCCAAGUCGCGUGAAGGAAGAAGGAUCUAUGGUUCGUAAACUUCUUUUGCAGGGGAAUAAAGUGCAGGACGUGUCCUGUUUUGUAUGUACCCUGAGAAUAAGGAUCGACUAACUCCGUGCCAGCAGCCGCGGUAAUACGGAGGAUCCGAGCGUUAUCCGGAUUUAUUGGGUUUAAAGGGUGCGUAGGUGGUUUGAUAAGUCAGCGGUGAAAGUUUGCAGCUUAACUGUAAAAAUGCCGUUGAAACUGUCGGACUUGAGUGUAAAUGAGGUAGGCGGAAUGCGUGGUGUAGCGGUGAAAUGCAUAGAUAUCACGCAGAACUCCGAUUGCGAAGGCAGCUUACUAAGCUACAACUGACACUGAAGCACGAAAGCGUGGGGAUCAAACAGGAUUAGAUACCCCGGUAGUCC
rnacentral:rRNA from 1 species